GUAACAAGGUCUCCGUUGGUGAACCAGCGGAGGGAUCAUUACUGAGUACUACACUCUCUACCCUUUGUGAACUAUUAUACCUGUUGCUUCGGCGGCGCCCGCAAGGGUGCCCGCCGGUCUCAUCAGAAUCUCUGUUUUCGAACCCGACGAUACUUCUGAGUGUUCUUAGCGAACUGUCAAAACUUUUAACAACGGAUCUCUUGGCUCCAGCAUCGAUGAAGAACGCAGCGAAACGCGAUAUGUAAUGUGAAUUGCAGAAUUCAGUGAAUCAUCGAAUCUUUGAACGCACAUGGCGCCUUCCAGUAUCCUGGGAGGCAUGCCUGUCCGAGCGUCGUUUCAACCCUCGAGCCCCUGUGGCCCGGCGUUGGGGAUCUGCCACGGCAGGCCCCUAAAACCAGUGGCGGACCCGAAGGGCCCUCUCCUUUGCGCAGUAGCAUUCGCCUCGCAUUGGGAGUCCUCGGCGUCCUGCCUCUAAACCCCCCACAAGUCCGCUUCGGCGGCACCAAGGUUGACCUCGGAUCAGGUAGGAAUACCCGCUGAACUUAAGC
rnacentral:misc_RNA from 1 species